UCGACCAACACCUCCCAACCGCAGACGCGGCA
rnacentral:sRNA from 1 species